CUUUAUGGCAGUCUCCGCUUACGGCCUCGUCUGAUCUCGGAAGUUAAGUAGGGUUGGGCCUGGUUAGUACUUGGAUGGGAGACCGCCUGGGAAUACCAGGUGCUGUAAGAU
ensembl:rRNA 5S_rRNA 5S ribosomal RNA